rnacentral:rRNA from 1 species
UACGUAGGGGGCAAGCGUUGUCCGGAUUUAUUGGGCGUAAAGAGCGUGUAGGCGGCUUUACAGGUCCGUUGUGAAAACUCGAGGCUCAACCUCGAGACGCCGGUGGAAACCGUAAGGCUAGAGUCCGGAAGAGGAGAGUGGAAUUCCUGGUGUAGCGGUGAAAUGCGUAGAUAUUGGGAGGAACACCAGUGGCGAAGGCGGCUCACUGGACCGGUUCUGACGCUGAGACGCGAAAGCGUGGGGAGCGAACAGG